ACGAUGGAUCACCAGUGAGUGGCGGACGGGUGAGUAACACGUAGGUAACCUGCCCCGGAGCGGGGUCUAACAAUUGGAAACAGAUGCUAAUACCGCAUAACAACAAAAGCCACAUGGCUUUUGUUUGAAAGAUGGCUUUGGCUAUCACUCUGGGAUGGACCUGCGGUGCAUUAGCUAGUUGGUAAGGUAACGGCUUACCAAGGCGAUGAUGCAUAGCCGAGUUGAGAGACUGAUCGGCCACAAUGGAACUGAGACACGGUCCAUACUCCUACGGGAGGCAGCAGUAGGGAAUCUUUUUCAAUGGGCGCAAGCCUGAUGGAGCAACACCGCGUGAGUGAAGAAGGGUUUCUGUUCGUAAAGCUCUGUUGUUGGAGAAGAACGUGCGUGAGAGUAACUGUUCACGCAGUGACGGUAUCCAACCAGAAAGUCACGGCUAACUACGUGCCAGCAGCCGCGGUAAUACGUAGGUGGCAAGCGUUAUCCGGAUUUAUUGGGCGUAAAGCGAGCGCAGGCGGUUGCUUAGGUCUGAUGUGAAAGCCUUCGGCUUAACCGAGAAGUGCAUCGGAAACCGGGCGACUUGAGUGCAGAAAAGGACCGGGGAACUCCAUGUGGAACCGUGGAAUGCGUAAAUAUAGGGAAGAACACCAGUGGCGAAGGCGGCUGUUUGGUCUGCAACUGACGCUGAGGCUCGAAAGCAUGGGUAGCGAACAGGAUUAGAUACCCUGGUAGUCCAUGCCGUAAACGAUGAGUGCUAGGUGUUGGAGGGUUUCCGCCCUUCAGUGCCGGAGCUAACGCAUUAAGCACUCCGCCUGGGGAGUACGACCGCAAGGUUGAAACUCAAAGGAAUUGACGGGGGCCCGCACAAGCGGUGGAGCAUGUGGUUUAAUUCGAAGCUACGCGAAGAACCUUACCAGGUCUUGACAUCUUGCGCUAACCUUAGAGAUAAGGCGUUCCCUUCGGGGACGCAAUGACAGGUGGUGCAUGGUCGUCGUCAGCUCGUGUCGUGAGAUGUUGGGUUAAGUCCCGCAACGAGCGCAACCCUUGUUACUAGUUGCCAGCAUUAAGUUGGGCACUCUAGUGAGACUGCCGGUGACAAACCGGAGGAAGGUGGGGACGACGUCAGAUCAUCAUGCCCCUUAUGACCUGGGCUACACACGUGCUACAAUGGACGGUACAACGAGUUGCAAACUCGCGAGAGCAAGCUAAUCUCUUAAAGCCGUUCUCAGUUCGGACUGUAGGCUACAACUCGCCUACACGAAGUCGGAAUCGCUAGUAAUCGC
rnacentral:rRNA from 1 species